rnacentral:rRNA from 1 species
CCUACGGGUGGCAGCAGUGAGGAAUAUUGGUCAAUGGACGAGCGUCUGAACCAGCCAAGUAGCGUGAAGGAUGACUGCCCUAUGGGUUGUAAACCUCUUUUAUAUGGGAAUAAAACGUUCCACGUGUGGGAUUUUGUAUAUACCAUAUGAAUAAGGAUCGGCUAACUCCGUGCCCGCAGCCGCGGUAAUUCGGAGGAACGCAGCGUUUUCCGGAUUUAUUGGGUUUAAAGGGAGCGUAGGUGGAUUGUUAAGUCAGUUGUGAAAGUUUGCGGGUCAACCGUAGAAUUGCAGUUGAAACUGGCAGUCUUGAGUACAGUAGAGGUAGGCGGAAUUCGUGGUGUAGCGGUGAAAUGCUUAGAUAUCACGAAGAACUCCGAUUGCGAAGGCAGUUCACUGGACUGCAACUGACACUGAGGCUCGAAAGUGUGGGUAUCAAACAGGAUUAGAUACCCGAGUAGUC